UUGCUCUCUUUAGGAGCACAUAUACUAAAAUUGGAACAAUAGAGAGAAUAUUAGCAAGGCCCAUAUGCAAAGAUGAGAUUUAAAGUCAUGUGUGGAGAGAAAGAACUUA